UGGGGAAUUUUGGACAAUGGGCGCAAGCCUGAUCCAGCCAUGCCGCGUGCGGGAAGAAGGCCUUCGGGUUGUAAACCGCUUUUGUCAGGGAAGAAAUCUUCUGAGUUAAUACCUCGGGAGGAUGACGGUACCUGAAGAAUAAGCACCGGCUAACUACGUGCCAGCAGCCGCGGUAAUACGUAGGGUGCAAGCGUUAAUCGGAAUUACUGGGCGUAAAGCGUGCGCAGGCGGUUUUGUAAGACAGAGGUGAAAUCCCCGGGCUCAACCUGGGAACUGCCUUUGUGACUGCAAGGCUUGAGUGCGGCAGAGGGGGAUGGAAUUCCGCGUGUAGCAGUGAAAUGCGUAGAUAUGCGGAGGAACACCGAUGGCGAAGGCAAUCCCCUGGGCCUGCACUGACGCUCAUGCACGAAAGCGUGGGGAGCAAACAGGAUUAGAUAGCCCUGGUAGUCCACGCCCUAAAACGAUGUCAACUGGUUGUUGGGAAGGUUCCUUCUCAGUAACGUAGCUAACGCGUGAAG
rnacentral:rRNA from 1 species